rnacentral:rRNA from 1 species
UACGAAGGGGGCUAGCGUUGCUCGGAAUCACUGGGCGUAAAGCGCUCGUAGGCGGAUUGUUAAGUCGGGGGUGAAAUCCUGGAGCUCAACUCCAGAACUGCCUUCGAUACUGGCAAUCUUGAGUCCGGGAGAGGUGAGUGGAACUCCGAGUGUAGAGGUGAAAUUCGUAGAUAUUCGGAAGAACACCAGUGGCGAAAGGCGGCUCACUGGCCCGGUACUGACGCUGAGGUGCGAAAGCGUGGGGAGCAAACAGG